GAAGCCUGAUCAAAUGUCUCAUAUUGCUUUAGGAUUCCUUAUCCUAGGAAAUCCUUGGUGAGCUCCUGGAUAUUGCUGGCUGAAGAAGGUCGAACCAUUCAUAAUUAUACCAAUGAAAGGAAUAGAAAGUUCCUCACAUGUUCUCACCAUGAACAGUGAUGCCAAAGUGGUCCAUCUGGUGUCUAAAGCUGCAGAGCGGUGCCCAGAGCCCGAGACAAGCUGGAAACCUCCAAGGACACAAUUGAAAGCCACCCUCUGAAAAUGACAGAGCAGAUGGGAAAGUCCUAUUCUCCAGUGAACCUUCGGUCCUGGUAACUGAACUCAAAAACUGUGCUCUGUUCCAUUCUCAACUCUAAGCUCAACCAGAAAAAGGGGACAACUAUUUCUGUUUCAGGGGGAGGAGUUCAUUACCAAUGGAGCUGCCCUGCAAAUGUUAAAAGAUGUCCUGUGAUCACAAGGAAACGAUAGCAGAUGGACAUCUGGAAAAUGGUAAAUAUAGAGAUGCAUAUAAGACUUUUAUCCUUUUUAAAGUAUCUUCAGAAGAUAAUUGUCCACUUAAAGUGAA